GCUCAGCUGCACGGCUCGGCUCGGCUCGGCUCGGCUCGGCUGCGCGGCCGCGGACGGGCGUGCGCUGGGGGCGCGGGGCGCGGGGCGCGGGCCUUGGCGGCGGCGGCGGCGGAAGCCAGGUGCCCCCGCCCGCCCUGUCCUCUCGACGAGGCGGAGGCGUCGCCGCGGGCCGGGCCUCGGACUGCCGCGUCGGAGUGGACGCAGGGGGCGGCGGCGCAGGCGGACGCGGGCGGCGCAGAGCAGCGGGGCCCGCGGGGGCGCCCCGGCCCGGUCGGCGCGGACGGCUCUCGGCGGACGCGGGCGGACGCUGGGCGGCCCCUCCCUGCCCGCGCGCCCGGGCGCCCCUGGCCGGCGCCGGGCCCCGGAGCGAUGACAUCGACGGGGAAGGACGGCGGCGCGCAGCACGCGCAGUAUGUGGGGCCCUACCGGCUGGAGAAGACGCUGGGCAAGGGGCAGACAGGCCUGGUGAAGCUUGGGGUUCACUGUGUCACCUGCCAGAAGGUGGCCAUCAAGAUCGUCAACCGGGAGAAGCUCAGCGAGUCUGUGCUGAUGAAGGUGGAGCGGGAGAUCGCGAUCCUGAAGCUCAUCGAGCACCCCCACGUCCUAAAGCUGCACGACGUUUAUGAAAACAAAAAAUAUUUGUACCUGGUGCUAGAACACGUGUCAGGUGGUGAGCUUUUCGACUACCUGGUGAAGAAGGGGAGGCUGACGCCUAAGGAGGCUCGUAAGUUCUUCCGGCAGAUCAUCUCUGCUCUGGACUUCUGCCACAGCCACUCCAUAUGCCACAGGGAUCUGAAACCUGAAAACCUCCUGCUGGACGAGAAGAACAACAUCCGGAUUGCAGACUUCGGCAUGGCGUCCCUGCAGGUUGGCGACAGCCUGUUGGAGACCAGCUGUGGGUCCCCCCACUACGCCUGCCCCGAGGUGAUCCGGGGGGAGAGGUACGAUGGCCGGAAGGCGGACGUGUGGAGCUGCGGCGUCAUCCUGUUCGCCUUGCUAGUGGGGGCUCUGCCCUUCGACGACGACAACCUGCGGCAGCUGCUGGAGAAGGUGAAGCGGGGCGUGUUCCACAUGCCGCACUUCAUUCCGCCCGACUGCCAGAGCCUGCUGCGAGGCAUGAUCGAGGUGGACGCCGCACGCCGCCUCACGCUAGAGCACAUUCAGAAACACAUAUGGUAUAUAGGAGGCAAGAACGAGCCAGAGCCGGAGCAGCCCAUUCCUCGCAAGGUGCAGAUCCGCUCGCUGCCCAGCCUGGAGGACAUCGACCCUGACGUGCUGGACAGCAUGCACUCCCUGGGCUGCUUCCGAGACCGCAACAAGCUGCUGCAGGACCUGCUAUCCGAGGAGGAGAACCAGGAGAAGAUGAUUUACUUCCUCCUCCUGGACCGGAAAGAAAGGUACCCCAGCCAGGAGGACGAGGACCUCCCCCCCCGGAACGAGAUAGACCCUCCCCGGAAGCGUGUGGACUCCCCGAUGCUGAACCGGCACGGCAAGCGGCGGCCGGAGCGCAAGUCCAUGGAGGUGCUCAGCGUGACCGACGGCGGUUCCCCGGUGCCUGCGCGGCGGGCCAUUGAGAUGGCCCAGCACGGCCAGAGGUCUCGGUCCAUCAGCGGUGCCUCCUCAGGCCUUUCCACCAGCCCACUGAGCAGCCCCCGGGUGACCCCUCACCCCUCACCAAGGGGCAGUCCCCUCCCCACCCCCAAGGGGACACCUGUCCACACGCCAAAGGAGAGCCCGGCCGGCACGCCCAACCCCACGCCACCGUCCAGCCCCAGCGUCGGAGGGGUGCCCUGGAGGGCGCGGCUCAACUCCAUCAAGAACAGCUUUCUGGGCUCACCCCGCUUCCACCGCCGGAAACUGCAAGUUCCGACGCCAGAGGAGAUGUCCAACCUGACCCCAGAGUCGUCUCCAGAGCUGGCCAAGAAGUCCUGGUUUGGGAACUUCAUCAGCCUGGAGAAGGAGGAGCAGAUCUUCGUGGUCAUCAAAGACAAGCCUCUGAGCUCCAUCAAGGCUGACAUCGUGCACGCCUUCCUGUCGAUCCCCAGCCUCAGCCACAGUGUCAUCUCCCAGACGAGCUUCCGGGCCGAGUACAAGGCCACGGGGGGGCCAGCCGUGUUCCAGAAGCCCGUCAAGUUCCAGGUGGAUAUCACCUACACGGAGGGAGGGGAGGCGCAGAAGGAGAACGGCAUCUACUCUGUCACCUUCACCCUCCUCUCAGGCCCCAGCCGCCGCUUCAAGAGGGUGGUGGAGACCAUCCAGGCCCAGCUGCUGAGUACACACGACCCACCCGCGGCCCAGCACUUGUCAGAACCCCCCCCACCAGCGCCAGGACUAAGCUGGGGUGCUGGGCUUAAGGGCCAGAAGGUGGCCACCAGCUACGAGAGUAGCCUCUGACGCUGGCAGACACCACUAACUGUAUGGAAAUGAUGACGGGGCGGCUUUCCAAAUGUGGAAUUAUCCCGAAAAGUUAACAUGUCACCUCCACGAGGCCAUCCUCUGUGACCGAAGGCAGCUGCUGCGGACCCGCCCUCCCUCCGCUCCUGCUGUUGCUGCCAGGCAGCGAGGCCCAGCCCAGCGCCCCGUCCACCCCGCGGCAGCUCCUCGCCUCAGCUCCGCAUGGCCCGUGGGAGGAGGGCCAGGCUCGGGGGAGCCUCCUCCAGCCCGGCCGACCCGGACUCCCGGUCACCUGACCCCUCGGCAAGAACAGCCUGCCUGGCGGCCUUCUGGGGCCGGGACCCCCGGUGGGCAAAGUAGCCACAGGAACAGACCCCGUCCACCCCGUCCACCACCUCCACGCCGCACCCGGAGGCCUCCUCGCGCCUCGCAGGCCCAUGCCCCGCCUCCCCGGCUGUGCCACCUCCGCCUCCGUGUAGUCUUGGCCUCCUCAGGCUGCCUCCCGUCCUCUCGUCUCACCUGCGCCUCCCUUGCCUCAUCUGGGGCGGCUGUAGGCUCUGGCGCUCCUCCCUGGCUGAGGUGGAAACAGAGACCCUGGGGCGCCAGAACCUUCCCAGCAGGCCAGGCCGCUGGGCUGGGAUCAGUGUUAUUUAUUUGCUGUUUUAAUUUAUGGAUUCUCCACACCUCUGUUCAGGGACGGGCGGCGGCCGCAUCCCCUGCUGUCUGCCCGUCUCGGGCGGGGUGGGGUCUGGGGCCAGGGCGCCCUCUGAGGACAGAGCUGGUGGGGCUCGGGGCAGCUGGCGAGCUACUGUAAACUUUAAAGAAUUCCUGCAAGAUAUUUUUAUAAACUUUUUUUUCUUGGUGGUUUUUGGAAAAGGGUGUGGGGGUGGGGGCGCCGCUGGGACAGGGCCAGGUUUUGUGUUUCAGUCCCUUGCUCCCGGUUCUUUCUACACACACAUCUAAGAUGGUGCGGUUCGCUCUGUCAUGGGUUCCGUUUCUCUGUGGAGCAGCAGCUCCACCUGUGGGGGCUCGGGGCAGAGGGGCAGCGUUCGUAGCGGACGGCAGCGCCAGCGCCCCUCUUUCAAGACCCAGGCUGGGGCAAUCUUGGUUUUGUGUCCAAGGGUGAAGGGGUAGGAGGAAGGCCCCCAGCUGGCCCUCCCCACACACAGGACAGCAGGGGCACGUGGGGCUUUUCUUAUUAAAAUUUUAAAAAGUUGAAAAAAAAAAAAAAACAGAGUCGGUGGCGCUCCUCCGCUGGGCGUUCUGUGCAGAGCAAGGCCCAGGGCGUGGCCUGGAGGGGCUGCAGGCCCCCCUGCCCAGUGCCCACUGCUGUGCUUCACCCCAGCUCCAGCUUCUGUGUUCCCUUCUGCCCAUGUGCCCGGCCCUCCCAGGCGGACACAGCCUGGAUGCAGCGGCCAUGGGGGGCGGCGGGUCUGAUGCAUGCCUCUGCCGUGGAGUCUGUCGGCUUCAGUGCCUGCCCCUGCCUCCCACCCACCUCGUGUAUACAUUUUAACGCUUCUGUUGACAUGAGACCUCUGCCACAGGCUGGGAUUUCUAUACGUAAGAACAAAAGCAAACACCUAGGACAGCAAAUGCCAGGCGGUCCAGGCGGGAAGGGGCUCUCCACGGAGAUCGAGGACAUGAAGCAAAAUGCCUCUUGCUCACCUUCCCCUCUUGUGCUUCGGACACGCGCGGACUCCAGCAGGCGCCACGGAAAUGGGCGAGCCCCUGCAGUGUACCCCUGUCGUAACUGUGAGCGACUGCAGCUCGGAACAAUAAAUCCCUUCCGCAAAGACA